GACGAACGCUGGCGGCGUGCUUAACACAUGCAAGUCGAACGGAAAGGCCUUUUCGGAGGUACUCGAGUGGCGAACGGGUGAGUAACACGUGGGUGAUCUGCCCUGCACUCUGGGAUAAGCCUGGGAAACUGGGUCUAAUACCGGAUAGGACCGCACUUUAGUGUGUGUGGGGGAAAGUUUUUUCGGUGUAGGAUGAGCCCGCGGCCUAUCAGCUUGUUGGUGGGGUAAUGGCCUACCAAGGCGGCGACGGGUAGCCGGACUGAGAGGUUGGUCGGCCACAUUGGGACUGAGAUACGGCCCAGACUCCUACGGGAGGCAGCAGUGGGGAAUAUUGCACAAUGGGCGCAAGCCUGAUGCAGCGACGCCGCGUGGGGGAUGACGGCCUUCGGGUUGUAAACUCCUUUCGCCAGGGACGAAGCGUUUUGUGACGGUACCUGGAGAAGAAGCACCGGCUAACUACGUG
rnacentral:rRNA from 1 species